GCCGCCUUGGCCGCCGGGACCGCCGGGAAAGGGCCGCCCCCUCCGCCGGCAGCGCGGCCCCGCCGUCCCUCGCCGCUCUCUCGGCUCUCUCGGCUCCCUCGCCCGCGCGUCGCUCGCAUCCCUCGCAUCCCUCGCCCGGGCGAGCGGCGGGGCCCGUCGGCUGAGCAGUAAAACCCGGCGCUGCUGAGGGGAAACCGCGCUCAGGCUGAGGUAAAGCCCCGUCGGAGCCUCUCGGGGGGCACAGAGCCGCUUCUUCCCGCGGCGGACUGCGGGCGAGGGGCCGGAGGGACGGACCCGGCAGCUCCCUGCCUUGGGAAGCAGCCGCUGCACCCCUCACUCAUCUCUGCUGCCCUUGGGUUUCUUAGCUCAGUGUGUGAGCGCUGUCUGCUUUUUUCUUUUUUUUCUUUUUUUCUUUUUUUUUUUUUUUUUUUUUUUUUUUUUUUUUUGCCCCCAAGUAUAUUUAUAUAUACUUGGAACCAGGGACCAGCGCAAGGACUGCUUGUAGAUAGCAUAGUUAAAUAUCGUAAAUUUUGUUUAAAUUUGUCUACCCGAUGGCUUGGUGUUUGAUGGUUUUGGUGUGUUUGGUUUUGCUGGGUUUUUUUUUCCCAAAAUGCAUGUAAUGGCUACAGGGUGAGGAAGCUGGGCGAGGGUCUGCGGCACACAGGUCCUGUGAGGAGCAGCUGAGGGAGCUGGGGGUGUUUAGUCUGGAGAGGAGGAGGCUCAGGGGUGAUUUUAGUGCUCUGCAACUCCCUGAAAGGAGGUGUAGCCAGGGGUUUGGUCUCUUCUCCCUCAGACAAGUGACAGAAAUGAAGGGACGCAGUAGGGGAUGUCAGGGAACGUCCCUGCUGAGCCAGGGGAGGUUCAGGUUGGACAUUAGAAAGAAUUAUCUGUGCAGGAAGGGUAAUUAGACAUUGGAAUGGGCUGCCCAGGGAGAUCGGCGGAGUUGGUGUCCCUGGAGGUGUUUAAGGAAAGACUGGAUGUGCCAUGGUCUGGUUGACAAGGUGGUGUUCAGUCAUGGAUCUCAGAUGUCCCUUCCAGCUUGACUGUGUGAUUCUCUAAUGGUGUUAAUAAAAAUGUUCUGUUUUAAAAGUUGACAUCUAUGAGUAUCAGCCCUCCUAUGUUGAUAUGAUGAAAUCCCUGUGGUGUACAGUCUUUUUUUUUUAAAGAAAUUAGCUCAAAGGCAGUUUGAGAGCUGGUUGCUUUGGUGGGUCAGCCACAUCCCUGCUGUUUGUGCAGGUACUGAACCCUCUCAACAUUCCUAACCCUGCAAAGGAUAUCUAGUUGUUGUCCUACUCAGCUUCCUGACUCAGCUUUUGGCAUAACGGAGGAAGUGAGACUGUGUCAGACUUGAUUUAAAGUCAUUUAAGCUGUUGUCAAACUGCUUUCAAAACUGCUAAUUUUCAGCCAGUUCCCUGGUCCAGCUCCCACUGAGGAACCUGCAACACUAGUUAAAAGCUCAUGGCCACUGAAGUAUAACUGUAAUGGAUGUGAGUGGUUUUACCUCAAAAUGCCUCUUUAUAUCUUAAGAUAAAUGCCUCCCCUAUAUUUUUUUUUUACCUAUAGACAAAGCAAUUUUGCUUCCUUUCAAUCCUUUUUGGUGUGGCACAGUUUUAAACCUCUUAAGAUGCUUAUGUCUUCUCCUUGCGUUGUCUCAAAAUCAUUCAUGUCUUUUUUUCUUUUCCAACUGUAGCACCCAAGACUGGACACUACUAAAAUUAAGGCCUCAACAAGGCCAGCAUCUGCUGUCCUGCCUGUCACAGACCCCAUUCCUGUUCACACAUGCCAGUACAAAUGCUUUUGAGUCAAUCUGAUCUAUUCACAAUCUUGCUGACCUGUUUUACCCCCACAUCCAUUUCUGCUGACCUCCCAAGCCAGGUAUUUCUCCCUCAAGUAGACAGUAAUGCUGCUUGAGAAAUUAUUUCCUGCAACAGCCUAAUGCUAUGCCUUCAUUUUUAUUUUAUAAUCAAGCAGUCAAGACAUCUUUCAAAAUGAAAUUCCAAGUGAUAUUAAGUCAGAGAACUGUAGAAUUUGUCAUCCUCUGUAAAUCGAUUGCACUUCUGGGAAGGAUUGUAUUUAAAAAAGCAAAACUAAGAUUGAACUGUGCCACGGUUACAGAAGGGUUGUGUAACUCUAAGUUUAGAAGAGUGAAUUGUACAUAUUUGUAGACAUUUAAAAUUUUAAAUUUUCUUAAACUAAACCAGCUAAAAUAAUCUAAAUGCAAACAAGGGUGGAUAACAAAGAAUGUGGGUCGGAGUUAUACCAAUACAAGGUAAAAUAUGGCAAAAACAGUGUAAUGUCCCAUUAGUGAGGGACAGAACCUGUAUUUAUAUGUGUUUUGCUAUUCCAUGUGCUUAAUUCUGAUAGCUCAGAAUUCCUCAGUUGUGCUCACUGUCCUGUGUGCUGCUUUUGAUGUGAACAGUGCAGUGAGCAGCUCAUAAAGCUACUGGCAGCAUGCUCUGCAGAAGGGAGGUUCUAGCACAGCCUGAUGGCUACACUGGCACUUCAGGUGCAGUUGAGCAAGUCAUUUUACAUGAUUGUACUUCAGUUUUCCUAGUGUGAGAUUAAUCCAUCUUUGUAAAACACCAAGUACCUAAAACUGAAGCCUGUGAUGUGGGUAUCUAUUAAAAUAACUGCCAUAGAAGGGAUAAAAAUCAACAGUGCUGUCCAAGUCCACUGUCCAGUGUGCACAGAUGUUUUUUACCCUUCAUUCUGACUUUGUAUAAUAACUACAGAAUUAGUUCUUCAGUGCAGCUGAACAAGCUGGUAAAUAACGCAUUCAGCUAAACAAUUUCUUAGAUGGUCAUCAUGUAGUCUGGUUGGUCCAUUUUGGCUGUGUAAAGCAUUUUUCUGAUGUGUUUUAUAUCAGGUGAUGUUUGGACAGUAACAAUUCGAGAAAAAAAUACAGGCUUUAUCAGGAAAUAAACAGAAAUCUUACCUUUUCUUUAUCAUGUGGCCAUCAGAUUUUAUGCAGUGGGCUUCCCAUUUAUUUCCUGGUCGCUUUCUUUUUUCUGCUUUAAUCUGUGAAGUCCUCAUCUGUGGUGAGAUUUCAGAGCACAACAUAAGGUAUGAAUGUAAAACUGCUGAUGUUUCAGAGGGAUACUGUUACUUGUCCUUCUAUUCUCUGUUUAGCAUGUAUUUUUUUAAAAUUGCUACUUUGAAAAUGGUUAUGUGAAUCCCAAACAGAGAUGGAGAAGAACGGAGUACUGCAGGUAUUUUAUAUAGGUGUGUAUCUGUAUGUGUUUGUAUAAAUACAUGUAAUACCAAUUUGCAGAAAUAAAAAUUAACUUUCCUCAGAUAAAAGUUCACAUGACCAACAUCUCCCAUACAAGUGUGUGGGCAUAUAUAUGAAAAUGUGUGCACGUUCAGUACCUGCAGCCCCUCCUGGAGAUCUACAAGCAAUAAUAAAUCCUUUUGAUCAGUGUUUUUCCAUUGCUAUCAAAGGUACAAGACAAACCUAUUCUUUUUAAAACUUACACUGCCUCACUCUCCUACAAAAGGGCUUUUUAAAAAUAGCUGGAAAGGAAUUUUCAGGGCCAGCUCCUCACCAGUUCAGCUCUGCUUUUUAGCACCCAGACAGUUGGAACAGCAGUCAAGAGCCCUCCAGAACAGAGAUUUUUGUACCAGUGACUCAGAUUUGUGCCACUUCACGUUUUUUUGUGUGUCUGUAGUUCCACUAUAGACCAUCUGUUAUGGCCACCCAGGCAAGAAUACAGGAGCUCUCAUCCACAUUGGCAUUCUGCUCUUUGCAGAGCAGCUUAUCAAACAGGAUUGCUGCAGAGACACCACUGUGCAAGUCCUGCUGUAUUGAGUGAUAAACACAAAUGGAUCUAGCUGGAGCUUGUUUCACCUGGCACAUGUGACAUCUGUUUGUCUACAGGAAGGGUCACAUAAUGCUCCAUAAAGGAUCUCCUAUAUGUCAAAGGGAGCAUUAUCAGGGAACCAUGGGAUUAGUCCAGAUAUUCCCUGUUCCAAUACUAGGAAGCAAGGAAAGACUUGAUCUCCCCAGAGAACUAAUUAUUCAGACCAUCAGGAAUAAGACCAGCCAGAGAAAGUGUUAUGGGGGAAGCAGCAAAGCUGUUUGAAGAGGCAAAUCAGCAUCUGAACAAGGCUUUUCUGAUACAUCUUUUAACAAAAAUGAACACUGUGGAAUACAGCAUCAUAGUAAUUGUCCUGCUCCAUCGCUGUGAUUGAAAGGGCACAAUCUGAGACUUUUUUGCUUACUUUAGAAUCCAAUUCACGUGUAACAAGAAAGCAUUCUGCUCAAGUCUGUUCUGAUUCAUGUUUUUGGUUUUGGGGAGGAGUGGUGUGGCUUUUAGGCAGCGUUUGCAAUUGCCAUACCAAGUUUCUCUAGCAAUAAGCAAGUGCUUAGUUACAGCUUCCUCCUGCUCCUCCUCAUAUCAGCUGUGCCAUGGCACUGUCAGUGCCCUCAGGAACUGAAUUCCUGGUGCGUGUGGGGUAAGCAUUUUAGGGUCAUAGACACAACCAACAGAAUGGGAACUAAUUCUUCCUCUCUGUUUAUAGACACUGCGUCAUUUGAGGUCUGUUUCUGUAGUCAACAUGGCAAGAUAAGUAGGAGCUUGCUCGCCUUGGCAGCUGGCUAGCUGCCUCCUCCAGCACAACACUGCUCUCACUUAUUCCCCAAUUCAUGGGUUUGGUCCUGCUUUGUUCCCUUCCCCCAGCAUCUUAACUUGCCUCCAGGCCCCAGGCACUCCUUUAAGCCAAGUUUUGUGAAUUUUUUUGUUCUCUUUCCUUCGCUGCCCGUUUACCUCUUACCUUCCUCAGGCCUUGCGCUCCACUGCUGGGCCAACUCCCCUCCCCAACUGUCCCUGCCCGCCCCAACUGUCACCUGCAACGGCCUCAGAAGGUUCUGGUGCUGCCCCUGCUCCCAGGGCAGCACCCACAGGGCACCUGAAACUGCCUGGAAACAGCCACGUCUGUUAUGUGGUCCCCUGGGGGAUGUCAGAGUCUCAGAGAAAGCCAAGAAAUGAGAUGGCUUGGUACGAUUCCCACAGAAGGAGAGGAUUCACACAGUGGUGAUCUUGAUCUCAGAAUUAAGAAAGCUUCGUGCUGAAUUUGACAGAGGUUUGUCAAGAUCUUCAGUGGAAGAGAGACGGGUGAAUGAGUGAGUUAUUUAUCAAAACUGCUUUGUAUUUUUUGUUCUUAUGUUACCUGGCAAGGUGGAAUAUUGCAAGCUUCCACAUCAUGUUAGGGAGGUAAAAGGUUUGAACAGGUUCAGUAAAGCAAAAUUUUAAAAAGCAGAUGCUCAAGGGCACUGAGGUGAUUAAAUUGUCCUCAUAUUUAAUGGGCUGUCUUAAUUGCAAUAUACAUGACACAUACAACAUAUUAAUGAGUGGAGAAGCCUAUCUAAACACUAAAUAAAAGUGCACAACUAUCAGUUUUAAAAGUCUGCUCUACAGAGAAGUCUAGACACCAGAUUUAGGUUAAGAUAGCUCAGUAAAUACAGAAGGAUUGGAACCAAUAUAAAAUCUGUGAUGUGGUAAUGUUUGACAUAUUAUCAUUAUUGAGUGGCUUCUUUGACACGCUGUGCAGUCCCCACACUUAGGGAAUUUUCAACAUUAUCCAGUGUCAGGUGGGACCUGGAAGAAUUUAUAGCAAGAACAAUAGUCAUGACUUAAGUGAGAGCUGAUCAAAAACAGAGUUGAGAUUUCCUUUUCCAAGAAGCAAGAAGAAGUUAAAACCACAAUUUGCUGGGGCACCAAGUGGCACCAGAGGACAAUUGGAAAAUUAUCUGGACAAUCUGGAAAAUUUGUCUUAAGCUAUAUUUAGUACAUCCAGAUAAAUUGUAGCUCCCACUUGAGCCAUUUCAGCUCAAAUACAAACAAAUAAAGAAAUAUUUGAGAGAGUUAUAUGCUUCUGAGUCAUGUUUAGUUCUACUAUAUCCCUUUCUAGGUGAGCUCUUGCCUUGGAGCAGAUUCAUUUCUAACUGCAGUUCUAUAGGUGUGCACCUCUAUUUCAUGUGUUAAAGGCCAUCAAAAAUACACUAGGCACUGAAAUCCUAAUAUUGAAAGCUUUUAGUAAAAUGGCUAAUAAGAGCCCUUCAGACAAGCACUUCUCAGCAAGUUUGUUUUAGAAUAAUUAUAGUUUCUUGCAAUUACUGGCUUUUAAUGACAGGUUGUUGAGACAUUUUUUUUAGUUCCAUAAUCUUUGUAGAGUCUUUUGUUCCUGAAAUUUUAUCACCAUCUUGAUGCAUGAGUGUGAGAUACUCCAGGGAAAUGCUCUUCAAUGCCUGCUUGAGUACAAUUUUAAAAUGUAAUUUUUUGUCUUUUAUCUGAUUUAUAGCUAGGUCAAAUUCAUAUUAUGAUCUUGGGUUCCUUCUUGAAAACUCACUGCAUCUUCAUUUAAGAUCUUUAUUAUGUAAGUCACAUCCUGGGAGAUGUGAAAAUAGAUUUUUUUUCAUCAUCUUCAUAAAGCCUCCUUUCUGAGUUACUAAACUUUCCUCCAAAGUACACUGAUUUUCAUCCAGAAUUUCAUUCCAUGACAUUCAAAGUUUCUGAUCACAUCAAAUGUAAUUCUACCCCCACUGAAAUCCACCUCAGGCCUUCUCCCAGCGUGAUCCAGGGAAUUUGCUUUGGGAUGUUACAGAAGUUGCACACUGCCAUUCUGAUACACAACAGUGAAUACACUUUGGAGAUUUUUUUCAGAAUUCCUGGUAGCAUUGCAACUCAGCAAACUGGUUUGAUACAUCUGUGUAAGCAAUUUAACUUGUCCCCUGUUCCCUCACUGCUUUGCUUUUGACUGAUUGACAGAAUUCUGACAAAUAUACUCACCAAAGCUUUCAUACAGUGCCUAUCAUCCCAUUCAAAUGGUUUCUUCACAGAAAAUACCAGCAGUGUUAGUCCUGCUGGUGAUCAUCUACAGGAUAUUUCAACCUCAAUGCCACACAUGCAGAAUGUUUUAUUUUAUUUUUGUUGCAAAAAUAUUUGCCACCUGAAAUGUUCUCCACUUAUUCAAGCCAUUAGACAGAAAUAUAAACAAGGUUGUCUGCUUUUGACAGAGAUCUACAAAAAUCUUCAUUACCUCCUGGGGAAAACAGGGUAAAAGACAUUUGCAGAGAAAAGUGGGGCAUCCAUUGUUGCUGCAUGUUUCAUUUUAUUUGAUUUACUAUACUUAACUUUUUCCCUUGUUGGCAAGAACAGCCUUAGCUGCUGCUCAUGCUGUUUGCCAGCACCUCCAUCUGCAUCUUUGGUUACUCCUCAGGUUCCUUCUCCCCCUGCAUUUCCAGAAUGCUGCUUGCAUCCUCUGCUCCCGUGGGAAUGCUUCCCCUUUGUGGCUAACAUCCACAGCAGCGUGGAGUUACUCUCCUUGUGGAUGACAUUUUCCUGCAGCUGCAGACACCUGAGCCCAGCUCCCUCUGAGUCUCCUCCGUGGCCUUGGUGAUCACUGCCAGUGAUAAGGGAAUGCCUCUGUCUCCUCUUCCGAAGUCUUGGAUUGGUGCUGUGAAUCCACACCCACGUUUCAGUUCUGUCAGUAAUCCCAAAUCCCCCGUGGGAGAGUUUAUCUGAAUUAAUCUCAUCUUGUAAUUUUGCCAUGUAGGUUUAUUUUGCAACUGGACCAUUCCUUAUCUUACCCUUUGUAGAUUUUUUUCUCUUGGGAGUGGUUUCGAUAAAACACCUCAGAAAUCAUUUAAUUCAGUCUCAAAGUUAGUGCUGCAUUUGCUUGGAAUUUGUGUCUGGCCUGUUUUCUGCUGACCUUUACUUAAAUGAUUAUGUAUAUUCAUGUGUGCAUGUGUAUUUGCAGUGCUUUCUAUCUUGUUCAAGCUUAAUUUUACCCCAUAAGGCAAGCUUUCCUCUCAAGUGUGAUGUCCCAGUUGUUUUAUUAGGAUUGUGACAAGUCUGCUCAUACGAGGCACAUCCACAGCACAUCUGAAUGAAAGCAAACAUCCUGUGUUCCUCAGCCUUCUCUAAACCCCAGCAGAUGGCUGCUGCUUCGGCAAACUGUGAGCAAUAGGAUGGAUCACAUUUCCCAUGCAGCAGACUUAUUUCUGGAAUCCAAACCCAGUAUACUUCCAGAAGGUGGGAACGUGGAUCCAGCCACAAAGCAGUUUAGCCCAAAUCAGUCCUACAUGGUGGUUCUCCAUAGCUCAGCCCCUCUUGCUUUUUUGGGUUGGAUGGGCAGCAGUGCUGAGCCAGGUGGACUGGUAACAGCUUCCAUGUGCAAGUGUUUAAACCCAAAGCCUGAAAGUCCUUUGUGCAUUUGUUAGAAUUUGUGUAUGUUUAUUUUUUCUCUCUGUGAUUAAGCUUCUUGUGGAGAUAAAUGCUUUUUUUUUUUUGGAAUGACUGGGUUUCCUUGAUGCUCAGAGCCAGUUCCUGGCCAGGAUGCUGACAGGAUCUGCAGGAGGUGAUGUGUAUUUUCUGUGCCUCAGGUAACACUGAGGGGACACAGACAAAUGUCCUUGCAGCAGCAGCAGCACCCUGACAUGUCUGUGCUUAACCCCAGGUGUGGAAUCAGGGGCACUUCAGUGUCUGGGUGAAUUGGCAGGAAUCACAGAAUCAUGGAAUGGUUUGGGCUGGAAGAGACCUCAAAGAUCAUCUUAUUCCACCCACUGCUGUGGACAGGGGCACUUUUCAGUAGAUCAGGUUGCUCCAAGGAUCAUCCAGCCUGGCCUGACCAGGGAUGGGGCAUCCACAACUUCUCUGGGCAACUUUUCUCAGCUUGAAACUUGACCUUGCAUGAGUGUGGCGUGUUCAGGGACCCAUUCUCACUCAUUUUUUCUCCCAGAAGGAGGCAACAAAGGAGUUACUUGGGCUGCACGUCCAGGCAGAUAGCUUCUACUGGGUCUGUUGAGAAUGUUGUCUUGAGGAAAGGGCAGUUUGGGAGGGGGUUUCAUCUUUUCUUGCUUAAAACUUCACUGAGCAACAGGCUCAGUCUCAGCCAUUUGUGCCCACUUUCCAUCUCAUGUUGGAGUAUUUAGCAUCAAAGAAGGCUUUUGAAAGAACACCUGCAUUCUUCUACAACUUGUGCACUGAUUUCUUUGCAUGGAUGAUCUUCAAUUGGCUACACAUCUGUUCUGUUGCAUUCAGAGGCCCUAAAAAUGAUGCCAUUUGUUUAGAAUCAUAGAAUCAUUAGGGCUGGAAAAUACCUCCAAGAUCAUCAAAUCCAGGAAGUAAUUCUAAAGAAUUACAACAUUUCUGAUGUUUCUCCUCCAAAUAUACUGAUUAUAAAAAUGUCUGUGUGCAAGCUAGGCUAGCAUUAACAAUCCUUCAUCAUCCAGAACCUCUCUGGUCAGGCAAACCCAAUUCACAAUUAAUGUUUACCAUAGGAUAUUUUCCUCCAUCACACCAAGGCAGAAAGCUCCCAGUGGCUCUGGAGUGCAUCUUUCCAUUAGGGAUUCAGUAGAUUACUCACAGUCCAAAACAGUCUUCAUUAUUUCCUAAAUCAAAGUUAUUCACACUUCCAAUUUCAUUGGAGUUUUUUUUUUAACAAACUGUUGUUAAGCCCAGCACACUGUUGGUCAUAACCUCUGACUAGCUGGAGUAAGAGAUGAAAUUGUUGAUCCUGUCUUCCCACAGCUGUUUCUGUACUUCCCUAGCUGGUUAUGACUUUUUUUCCCACUAAUGGGACUAAGUGUCAUUGACUGGGGUAGGCAGACAAAGACUUUCUUGAGAUUAUUUUAUUUUUACUAAAGGCUGUGCUCAGAAAAAUCAAUAUUACAGAAAAAAACAACCUAUCAACAUUUCCCUUUACAUACAUUUGCUUUAUUUUAUUAUGUAUCCCAGCCACAGAAGGAUAUGGGCACUGAAAUCAGGUGGAUAACCUGCAGCCAUGGAACUCUGCCAAUAAUUGACUAUAUUUUGCAAAUUGCAAUAUUUCUGCUGUUAAUUUUGCUCUUGUUUCUGCUCUUUCUUUAAUCAAGAAGAAAGAUUUACAACUGGUUGUGCUGACCCACUCAAAGGUGUUCGAGAAUAAAGUAUGAACCACAAAGCUGUAUCUAGUCCUUUUUCUUACAGCUUUUCACCACAGCAGUGCCUCUUGGGCUUUUCCACUGACUUUUUCAAACUCAACAAAAGCAUCUGUGAACCAUUUUGCCUGCUGCAGCAAAAAACCACGGGGUUUUGCAUCUGGGAAGAGGGACAACAGUAUAAACUAUGCAAAACGAGACAAAGUCAUGGAGUCAUUUGGUUGGAAAAACCCUCUAAGAUCAUUGAUUCCAACCACUAAUCCACCACUGCCAAGCCCACCACUAAACCACGUCCCCAAGUGCCACAUCUACACGUUUUUUGAACACUUCCAGGGAUGGUGACUCCACCACUUUUCUGGGCAGCCUGUUCCAAUGUCUGUCAACCCCUUCAGUGAAGAAAUUAUUCUUAGUACUUUUCCACCUCUACAAAAAUUUAUGUUUCUGGCACAAGUGGGCUUGAUAAAAUUGUCAUGAAUGAUACCUGUGAUCAAAUGAGACAUCAAAAUCACUUAUUCCUCAACAAGAGAGCUGGAAUCAAGUGUAAGUACCUGAAGGGAGCCUGUAAGAAAGGAGAGGGACUUUUUACCAGAGCCUGGAGUGACAGGACAAGAGGGAAUGGCUUCAUAGUGAAAGAGAGUAGGUUUGGAUUGGAUAUUAGUAGAAAAAUUUUUUACUGUGAGGGUGGUGAGGCCCUGGCAUAGAUUGUCCAGUGAAGCUGUGGCUGCCCCAUCCCUGGACAUGUUCAAGGCCAGGUUGGAUGGGGCUUGGAGAAAGCUGGUCUGGUGGAAGGUGUCUCUGCCCAUGGCAGGGGGUUAAAACGAGGUGAUUUCAGGUCCUUUCCAACCCAAACCAUUCUGUUGAUUCCAUUUCUAUUGAUGUUUGCUAUAAUCAGCAGCAAAGGGCCAUGUGCAGAGGCUUGAAAAUUUUAAGUGGGAGAGAAGCUUCCUACAAAAUUCCUGACCAGAGUCACAGCCCAGAACACACUCAGCCAGAAGCCUUUGGUGAACACUGAGCCUCUCACCUUCCUGUUCCCUACCCACACCCUGUGGAUAUCCCACAUCCAGCUCAGGGUUUCUCCCUGUAGCUGCUGUGGGUGCCUUACACUGCCCAAAAUCUCUGCUACCCAGCCAGGGCCCCCGCACUGCCCCAGAGGAGGGCAGCAAGCUCCAGCUCAUCAGGCCCUUGAAGAGGGCAGUGACCCUGUGGGGCUAUUAAAGUAGGCUCAAGCUGUUCAGGAGAGAAAUACAAAUAAAUCCCUACAAGCACAAAUAAGGCACAUUCAAAUGUGUUUAACUGUGUGUGCCUGUCUGGAAGCGUGGCUCAUCAUUCCUCUUUCCAUUUCUCACUCAGAGGGUCACCAGUGCCUGAAAACACUGAUGUGCCAAGGAUGCCAGUUCCUUGUGGGGGCAUGACUCUGCUCCACACAGACAUUUUCCCUUCUGUCACUUGGCAAAAUUCAGUAUGUGACUUGAAAAUUCAAAAUAUAAACAAGAGAGAUGAACCAGGGCCAAUCAUGUUGCAAGCAGAAGUCUCAAACCUUCCCAGUAAGUGCAGAAUGCCUCUCCUCUAGAAAUACCACCAAUGUCUCCAUUCUUUUCAGCUUAACCAGAACUAUUCCUUUGCAGCUUUUAACCUGUGAGGAAAUAGGGGCAAAAAUAUCAUAGUUGAGCACACAUGUAUGAGACUAUAAAACCACUCAGUGCCUCACAAUACACAAUUUAUCAGGCAAGUUUCUCCCAUCUCCUAGCUCUCCUAUUCCUUUGAAUUGCUUAUUGCUUUUCUUUCUUCCUCAGGAUCAUUUUCUCCUGUAACUUUGUUAUUCUUUAACAGUUCUUUCACAGUUAAAAACCCUCAGGGUAUUUAGGUAUCAUUCUAAGAAUGACAGAACUGUCCCCUGUAUUGUCCUUUAGUGGCUUCUGGUUAUUCCCACGUUCCAGGAUACACCAAGUUACUGCAGUUUUUUCCUGAAAAUUGAUAAAUCAUAUACCUGAGCUAAACAAAUAGAAAAAAGCCAAGAAUUUAUGAGAGUGAGGAGGACAUGAUCCUUUCAGAAAACUACUAAACUGAAUUAACAAGAGUGACAAUUUCUUAACUGUGAGGGAAAGCAGGGAGAAGAAUUCAAUGAAAAUUAAUACUUCUGGCUAAAGAAUGGAAAUAUCUAUUCUGCAUUUUGUCAGGGAAAUUAUUUUGAGGAAGAAAAAUAAAAAAUUGUAUAAGUAUAUGAAAAUACACUCCAAUAUAUGAAAGUAUAUAUGAGUAUGAAAAUAUUUGUGAUGCUUUAGUAAAUGAGGAGUUGCCAUCUCUUGUGAAGGAAACCCAUUCUUAAUUUUUAGUAUUUCCUGUACUUGUGGCCUUGUGUGGUGUAGGCAAGUUGCUGAAUGGUUAAUUUUGACCUCUGCCAUUAUAAUGUACCUUCUUUGUUAUUGGAGUUAUGUCCAAUUUUGGCUACCAGACAUUCAUCCUGUCAUAUGUUGAUUACUGUAAUAAAUAUUGUCAUUACUGAA